AAUGCCAGCUGUGGAACAAGGAGUGCAGGCCGUGCCACGUCCACAGGGACUGGUGGGAUGUGGCGGUUCUACACCGAGGACUCUCCAGGGCUCAAAGUUGGACCUGUUCCAGUUUUGGUCAUGAGUCUUCUUUUUAUUGCUUCUGUAUUUAUGCUGCACAUCUGGGGUAAAUACACUCGUUCCUAGACUCAGCUGCCAGCUUAAAUCAUACAUCUUGGACCAAAACUAUGGUGGAUCCUGAUUGUUCUUGGAGAGAGACUGGGGAAGCUUCCUAUCACCUGUUGAAGUCCUGUCAACUUUGGCUGUGAUAUCGAAUUAAUUUCUCAGUUCGCUACUUGGGCAGCUUUAAAGCCUGUCAUGGGUCAUUUUAUAUUUGUAUCUGUACACUUAGAAUACAGGUAUUGCAAUAAAAGUUCUAUAUGGAAAUAGAA